UUACACGUCUCUACCGCUGCGAUACGCUAGGGUUAUCCGGCUUCUUUACCGAAGAACUCUCAUUCCUACUCGCUCGCCACGCCCCUCUCCCCUUCCCCUCCCCGCCGGCGCACUCACCCAAGCGUGCGUACAACACCCCUCGGCCGUGGGCGCACACAAAACAUUUGCACUGCAUCUUCUCUCAAGCACCUCCCCUGCCACCACCACCACCACCACAAAAGCUUGAGCACCACCCUCGAGGCUCUCACCAUCUGCACCGGAGCAUCAAGCCCGAUCUCCCGUUACUAUCCAGACACACGCAUACACGUACAGCCAUGCAGUUCACCGUGGAGCAGAUUCGCAGUGUGCGAAACAACUACCUUGAGCCGCCGUACCCGGGCUUUUCUCUGGAUGAAGUGGUACGCCGCCGCCGCCUGACGCAGACGAAGCUGGUGCGCGGUGAGAAUGCCUGGGUUGCGAAGGGCACCGCUCAGACGACGGAGGAGUGGGUGCAGCGACUGCUGCAUGGCACACUGAACAAGCUGACAGAGGAGAACAAGGACAUCAUGAUUGAUAAGCUACUCACCAAAGAGCUCUUUGCCACGGAGGAUAUUAUGAACAUGGUCGUCAACAUCAUCUUCAAGAAGGCGCUGGACGAGCCAGAGAACAGCAAGCUGUACGCCGGCGUGUGCCACAGCCUUGCCUUAUACGAGGCGAACGUUUUGCGCGAUGGCCACAAGGGCGAGCGACCACAGUCGCAGCUGCGCGACGCCAUUAUCAGCACUGUGCAGCACGAGUUCCGAACGCUCUCCAAGGAGCUGUCGAAGAUGGAGGACAAGUCAGAGGAGGAGCUCGAGUACGAGCGGUCCAACGUGAUGCGGCGCAAACGGUCGAACAUGCGCUUUAUCGGUGAGCUGUACCUUUGCACGGCCCUGACGCACUCGACCAUGUUCACCGUCAUGGAUCUGACGAUGCGCUGCAGCGACAAGACGGGCUUUCCCAGCAGCGAGAACAUCGAACUGCUCGCCGCGCUCCUCAACACAAUCGGCGAUCGACUAGAUCAGAACCACAAGAAGACGCUAGACCGCUACUUCACCUCCCUCGAGAACUUCAAUAAGAAGCCCGACUGCCCGUACCCGCCGCGCAUUCGCUUCAAGAUUAUGGACCUGCUGGACCUGCGCAAGCGCGGUUGGGGCUCAAAGCCGAAGCCCGUCAAGGCAGCCCUGCCGCCAAGCCACGGCAAGGAUAAAAAGUGCGCCACGGCCCCGCCCCCGAAGAAGGGCGGCCGUGACCAGGGCAGCGCCGCCGCUGCGUCGAAGAGCUGGCGCGACGCCGCCACGAUGAAGACAGGUACUGCGGCAGCACCGGCGUCUUCCACCGGUAAGGGGCUGAACGGGCGCGGCACGUCGAGUGCCUCGCCGGCAGCCAACACAACAGCGUUGUCCACCUCAGCGGCGGUCACGGUCGCUGCCACUGCACCUGCCGGUGCCUCGUUCCGCGACGAAGCGUCGCCGCAGGUGCCGCUCGUGAAGUUCGAGCUGCGUGUGGCGUCGAUGUUCCAGGAGUGGGUGGCAGACCGCACGAACGACGUCAUCCUCCACUGGGUAGAUCAGUUCAACACAUGCGACCGCUUUUUUGAGUCGGAGAGCGAACUUUGCGUGGCAGUGGCGCAGGAGGUGAUCCACUCGGCUUGCACGACCACCCGCAAGGACGCCCAGCGCGAGGCUUUCAGCUUCCUUGUCGUCGGGCUGUACAUGAUCGACACGGAGGUGUUCGACGGCUUUGCCAGCGCUCUCGCCUCUGCCAUCGAGGACGGCCUUUUGGAAGAUGUCCCAAAGUUUGGGGAGCGCUUCAUGAGUAUGCUGCGCCUCACCUCCACUGAGCAGGAGACGCGCGCCGAUGUGUACUUCGAUGCGGCGAACGUGCUGCGACUGACAUACAAUCGGCUGGAGAGCCCCGACGACUCCGCCGUGGAUACGUUGAUGUCCUUCUGGGAUCGCGUGCCGCUGCCGUCCACCGACGAGGAGAACAUGAUUCGCAUGGACCUUGAUGUUGUGUACAGCCUCUGCAACCCCGAGGGGGCGCAGGACGGGCUGGAGAAGCUGCUCAGUCGCAUUAUCCACUCGAUGCUGCAGAUGCAGCUGAUGGACGCGGAGGUGCUGGACGAGUUCCUCUGCUUGGAUGUGCAGGAGGGGGUUUGUGCCAAGGUCAUUGCCGACUACAAGGAGCGCUUCCCCAAAUAAUGCGGUUCUCGGCUGCCCGUGCCCGCAGCACCUUCUGUGCUCAUCAUUACCGUGUGCGCACAAGCUACUGGAAAGCAGUGGCGGAGAUGUGUGUGGCCGCAUGGCUAACGGUCAAGAUGGAGGAGGGCCAAUUGCCGUCGUGGCGUGAAGCGUCGCUUCUUUCGGCUUUUUCUCCGCACCCUUGAAGUGGGUGACGCGGUCGGCGGUGGCGGUGUGAUCGCUGGGACGUGUGAGCGCACACGUGCGCGCGUCCUUCUUUUUUUCUCUGUGCUUUUGUCUGCGUUGCGUAAUGGGUUGCCUUAAUCGAAUAAACGGCGCACCCCCUCCCUCCUCCUCUCCCUCUGCCUCACUUGCCGAGCAUACCACCGAAUGCCAGGAAAGCGUCGAAGAAAAGAAGCGACACCCAGCGACGAAUGCACAUGUAUGAAAGAAGAGGAUCGAAGGGGUGACGAGGCGUGUAGUGCGCCCAUCAGUGGCGAUAUUGGGCCUUUCAGGAGGCAAACACAUCAAGAUAGAGAGAGAGAAAGGAGGGGGAUGGCGCGCUCACUUGAAGGGAAGACCCGGGCUGGCGUCUGCGUGCGCGCGUGACGCUGAUGCUGCACAUGACCGCUGCACUGCUUGAAGGCCGUCCUCCUCCCCUUUCCCUGCCCCCUUCGUCCCUUGCUCGUUCUCGCUGCGUGGGCUGCUUUUUUCGCGUGCGCAGCAGCGGCGCUUCCCCCAUGCGAAGCACCAAGUGCCGCGCAAGGCUGUGCUGGGCGAAGAAGCGUGUUAGUGAUAACAAAGAGCGUUAACGAUCAUGAGCACAUGGACCGUGUCUCAGUUGCUGUGCUGUGCUUGCGACGCCGCGUUUCUUCUGCUCUGUCUUGCACUCUGUGUCUGGCAUCCCUGCCGCCUCUCCUCUCACUGCGUUGCCGUGGUGAUGAGUGAGGCGGGAGAUGAGGAGACGGAAAGCCCGCAUGAUCGGGGGCGGCGCAGGGCUGGCGGGCCGCGGUGGUGGUGGCCAUUCUAUUCUUCCCUUCUUCUUUUUCGUCUUUACCUUCGCGCAUUUUUUCUCCCGUGGUGGUGGUGGUGGGGACUGUGGGGUACUUCAAG
rnacentral:misc_RNA from 1 species